CCUGCCGUUGCCGGCGACCGGCGCACGGGUGAGUAACACGUAUGCAACCUGCCCGUGGCAGGGGGAUAAGCGGGGGAAACCCCGUCUAAUACCGCGUAACGCGGCCUUGGGGCAUCCCAAGGCCGCCAAAGGGAGCAAUCCCGGCCACGGAUGGGCAUGCGGCGCAUUAGGCAGUAGGCGGGGUAACGGCCCACCUAACCGACGAUGCGUAGGGGUUCUGAGAGGAAGGUCCCCCACACUGGUACUGAGAUACGGUCCAAACUCCUACGGAAGGCAGCAG
rnacentral:rRNA from 1 species